AAAGCAGGCAGUAAGGAGUUAUAGCUGUGAGCAGAGGUUCUCUGAACUGGCCUCUAACUCUUUCUCAAGCUUACAAAGACAUACACCAGUCAGCACAUUGUCAAAUGUCCUCUUCUAACUCAGCUGGAAGUGAGAAUGAGACUUUGACAGCUUCAAAACAGCCCAUUGUUGCGUAAAGGAAGGAAGUUCCUGAAAGUCAUUUUCUUUGGAACCACCUUUUCUCUGUUGUGUCAUUUUUGCUGCAGGACAAUCAGAACCCAGCACGUGACUUCAGUGAGAUCCUGGUUUAUAAGCACAGAUGAGGAACUGCAUGGUCGUCUUGGCUUUGUCAGUUCUAAGAAGCAAGAAGAAUCCAAGUACAGAUGGUAUAUUUAGCUGCCAUGUUGCCCUCCUCACCUUCAAAACUAAUUAACAGAGGGAAAAAAUCUUUGGUGUGUAAGGUUUAGUCUCACCAGGGCAAUCUGCUAUACAUGAAUGAUGCUAAGGACUCAUCUCUGUUCCAGUUGCUUGCAGAUGCUGAAGCAAUGCCACGACAAUGUGAACUGUGCAGACCUUUAGUGGAUGUUUUGUGAGUGCAAGGAAUGCAAGGCUGAACCUUUGCCAAAAUCAAGUUAAUAUGUACAGUGCUUGAAAGACCAGCUUAGAGAUUGGGCCAUAGGUAAUUAGUUUCAUUAAGGUUGCUUUCCAGAAAUUUGUUUUCUAACUAAACUUCAUACAUUAUUCUUGCCUGUAUUAGUAGCACCAUGACUGCGUUGCCAGAAUAAGAGAGUCAUAACAAAGGCUCACCUUUGUCUAUAUGUUUCACAAGCAUCCUCCAGCAGAUGUGACUUCUGUUAUCUGCUUUAUGUUAUUGUACAUACUUUUCCAAACAAGCACAAGUAUAUGACUCCCAUUCAUUUAUAGAUAACUGUCAGGGUUGGGAACUCCUCCAACAGACCUUAUUAUAGAUGUGUUUUAUCAGUGGAGUUUAAAUUAAAACAGCUGUAAAAGCAUAGGAUUGUUCUCUGUCUUGCACACAAAGAUAUAAGCAUGUUCUGAACCAAGAUCAAUAAAGACUGUGACUCAGAGAAUGUGUUGCGAUUUACAUUAAUGUACAUUAUGGGAAAAUGAUAGUCCUGCUUCUGCCUCAUUUAGGAUAGCCAAGAAUUAGUUCUAUGCAUCCUUUCAAGGACAAAAAAUGCUACAAAAAUGCAACAUUUGUUUGGCAGUUCAUAUCACAGACUCCUUCACAGCACUUUUUCGUCAGAUUAAAUUGCAAGAGUUGGUAACUGAGUAAUGUGAGGUCUGUUGACAUGGUCUAGAUUGUUGUGCCUGCACUGAAAUUUCAACAGCUAACAAGAAAAUGUAUUGUCAUGCAAAAUCUCUCUCAUAACAAAUUAAUCCAAAAGGUCAUUGGAAUCAGGAAUGCCAGUGCUUUGCUUCAAA